AUCCCCAAAUGUGUCUCGGCUGACUCUCAAUAUAUCAAAAGUACAUACCGUCUAUUUAUUUAUGUCUGCCCUUCAAACCGCUAGAUUCCUUCACUAAGCAGGAAGUUUGUCACGACAGCUGACACCAAAUCUCCUGCUGAGCUGGUUCAAACAGAACUAUCCUCAAUUCACCACGAGGGGGCGCCAACGCAGCAGCUUAGUUCUAUUGUUUCGCUUUUUCAAAGACAGUUUUUCUCUUCACAAAAGGACAACUUAACUGAAUAAUGCACUUUCAUAGUAAUUGUUUUUAAUCCGUGUUAAUGUUCUGAACAAUGACUACUAAAGGUUCUGUAAGGUUGUCCCACAUACUAUGGAUUUUAAGUUUUUUAUCAAGGUGUUAAAACGUACCAUCUAUUUUCUGCUGAAAGUUGCCAGUCCUGUGUUUUAUGUCUAGCAAUUUGUACAGUUUCUUCAGUAUGGCACAUAAACACAUGCCAUCAUCUACAGUAUGAGAAUCUCCUCCAGAACUCUGCAUUUCCUCAAGAUUUUUUUGUAAUAUUACAUAGGUGCAUCUCAUGAACCUUAAUUUGCCAAGCAUGUAUUGACUGGGCACAGUACAGUGGUGCAAUUUCUGACAAUGAAAGAACAUCAUGGACCCCUACUCCCCAUUCCUUAACCCGAUCGAGGGGCUCUGCUCAGCAUGGAGUUAGAAGGCUUACGAUCGCUAGCCACAUGCUCAGAUGGCCCUGCUGGCUGACAUGAAUGCAGCAUGUGAGGACAUUACAGCAGAUGCCUGCAGAGGCAGGUAAGACAUUAGAAAAGAUUCCUUUUUUUCUUAUAUUUUAUUCUUUCUGUUUUUUCUUAUGUACAAAUACAUAAGUGCACAUUAGGAUGCUUUUUCACUAUUACGUAAGUUCCCAUGUGAACAGCCAAUCAGAUCAGCCUGAUGUGUGUCUUGUUCCUCUCUGUUUCCUGCCCUUUCAUCCCGACCACGACCAUGAUCUCUCACUUAGCAGCAGAGCAGUUUAUUCUAAACAGUGGAACCGCAAAGAUGUUCAGACUCUUUGGUCUUCUCAUUUUCAUUAGUAGGGUUCUAUACUAUUAAAUCAUAUUUUGGGGGGAUUUUUAUAUAUCCUGUACGAUGUGAUUAGUGUAAUAAGUAUUUGGCCAUUUAAUCUUCAUCAUAUGUAAUAGGUAUUCUGAUUAUUAUUAUGAUAUUUAUUUAUUUGUUUGUUUGUUUGUUUGUUUAUUCAUUUGUGUUUCUCUCUUUUUCCAGACACUUCACUGGCUGUGGAUGUUGUUCAGCCCAGCUACCUGAUGAGGGUCCAGCAUGGAGACAGUGUGACCCUGACAUGCUUCCGUCCAGAAGAUAUUUCUUUUGCAGUUUGGUUUUAGCAAGCUGCUGGUCAGAAGCCCCAGCUCAUCGCGAAAGCACUUCUCUACGUACCUGGCGGAACCCACCGAAUAGCCCGUCUCGAUCACGCCCACAUGGGCGGGACCAGCCAGGUGCUCCGUAGAACGCUUAAUGACGGAAUGGAUUUAAGCACUGAGCUCCAUCGGGACAUUGCGAAGUAUUGAGCCAUGCUAUUGAGCCAUACCGAGCAAUCUAUUGUCUAUCGUCUACCCGUUGCUUCCUACCUGUUCCGUCCGCCCAGUGUACUUACCUUGUCUGUUCCUCUUCCUCUUCCCAGACCCGUUCCCGAACCUGAACCUCUUGCCCCGCUGAGACCGGCUUCUCCUGGUACUCUUUCCCUGUGUUGUCGUGUCCCGUGUUUGUUCCUCUUUCGGCUUCGGACACAUGCUUCUGCCCCUCGACCAUUCUCCUCGCUUAGCCCCUUUCAUUGCUACGUACUAGUGCUGCCAAUAAAACUUCUGGCUGCGUGCAAAUCUAGAUCUCCGUUCCACUUCUUGGGCCAGUGUUACAGUUAUAAUAUAAUCUUUGUUAUCAUAUAAUGUUAUCAAUGUAUAUUAAAGCUGUUAAGGUAUGUUAGGAUAUUAAGGUAUACGAAUUACAUGGUGAUUAUGAAUGUUAUAUGAAUGCAUUGUAAAUGUAUAAUGUAGGUGCAGUUAAUGUAAAGUGUUACUGAAUAUAUACUAAUAAAUAGUUAUACAACAAAAAGAGACAAGAAUGUCAACUAUUCUCCAAGAAGUUACUUAUUUUAUGGAUGGAUAGAACAACAUGACAUCCAUUCCAAAAUAUUUCUAAAAUCGGCAAGAAAUAUUUUUCAGGAUCUGUGUUUUCCAUUGUGACUCUCAAAGCGCUGUCAUCAUCAACAUUUUGCUUUUCAGGUAAAGACUCCAACAGCAAGACUGUGGUACAGCAGCCUGUGUCUGACACUGUGUCUGACACAGACUCUGUGAGUCUGCAGUGUACGAUAGAGACUGGGAGCUGUGCAGGAGAACACAGUGUUUACUGGUUCAGACAUUGUUAGAGUGUAUCUGUGUAUUUUAUCAUAUUAUUAUCCUCCUAUAUGUGUACGUGCAACCCUUAACAACUAACCCAUGGCCCAGAAAGGGUUGCAGACAAGAUGUCCUCACAGGGGCCUACCAGAUUGUGACGCAGGAAUAAGAGACCUUGAGAAAGGAAACAGAUUCUGUCAACAUAGCAGGGGGCCCACCUUGAGAUAUGUAAUGCUUUGUAUUAACCCUGUUUCACGGAGGCCUCACACAGCAUUGACUAGUUUAAAGACAAGACCCAUGUAACCCCUCCCCUACCCUAUAAAUAAAGAAGCCAAGGGACUGUCCGGUGUGACACUCAACAGAGGCGCAGAUACUGUCUGUUGCACCUGAAGUGGGCACCCUUGCGCAAGUAAAACAGAAA